rnacentral:misc_RNA from 1 species
UCGAAUUGUAAUGGAGGUUGAUGCUGGUGGUCAUCUCGUGGCUACAUGUGCUCGCUUCCGACAAUCUCUUAUCCAACACUUUGUGCAUCAAUGGCGAGGGUUUUCUGAGACCAUUACUGCGCUGUGGUGAUCUUCUUGGAAUUCUCUUCCCUUCUCAUACACACUUAAAAUAUAACGUUGAACGUGAAUUGUGCCGCAAGGCCUUAAUAAAAAUA